GGCCCCGUUUGACGGUAGGAGCUCCUUUCCCCGGAGAAUACGGCUUUGCAAAACUGCGAUUCCUGUUCUCCUAUGUAUGCUCUCUCCCGCCGCCGCCGUCGUUGCGGCCGUUCGUGCGGCGGCGGGUUCGCGGCCGGCCGUACGCUGCGCCCACGCAACUCUCCUCAAGGAGGGCCUGGCUCUCCACCCUCCCGCGCCGUCCCUCCUUGUCUCCGCCUAUGCCAAAUGCCGCCUCCUCCCCGACGCCCGCCAACUGUUCGACGAAUCCCCGCAGCGGGAUCUGCACCUCUACUCGUCACUCCUCGCUGCCAUCUCCAACUCCGACUCUCCCGCCCUUGUUCUACCUCUGCUCCGCCGCAUGCUCUCGGUAGAUGCCCUCCAACCCGACCAUUUUGUGCUUGCUUCCAUCGCCAGUGCCUCCGCCAGGUUGCGCAGCCUCAGUCUUGGUAAGCAGGUACAUGGACAUUUUGUCGCUUCCCCGUAUAGCGGCGACAACGUUGUCAAGUCGUCGCUUAUCGACAUGUACUGCAAAUGUGGUGUCCCAGAAGAAGCGAGGAAGGUGUUUGACAGUAUGACUGCCAAGAACAAUGUCGUGUGGACUGCGCUUGUUUCUGGGUACGCGUCAAACGGCUAUACUGACGAGGCGCUACAGCUCUUUCGGAGCAUGCCUGGACGCGGAGGCCUCUUUACAUGGACUGCGCUCAUAUCAGGAUUUGUGAAAGCUGGCGAGAGUGUUAGAGCGGUGGAGCUGUUUGUUGAUAUGAGGCGAGACGGCAUCACUAUUGAUGACGCCUUUUUGUUGUCAGCUAUAACUGGUGGAGCUGCAGACCUGGCUGCACUUGUUCUGGGAAGGCAGUUGCAUGGUUUAUCCAUGAGGCUUGGGUUCUUGUCCAGCAUGAUGGUUGGGAAUGCGUUGGUUGACAUGUAUUCUAAAUGUAGCGACAUACACUCUGCUAGAGAAGUUUUUGAAGAGAUUACAGUGUGUGACAUCAUCUCGUGGACGACAAUGAUUGUUGGAGAGGCACAGCAUGGUCGAGCUGAGGAAGCUUUUGCUCUUUAUGACCGGAUGGUUCUUGCAGGAGUGAAGCCCAAUGAAGUGACCUUUGUCGGGCUGAUUUACGCCUGUAGCCAUGCUGGUCUUGUUCAGAAAGGGCGCCAAUUGUUUGACUCGGUGAAGCAGGAGUAUGGCAUCAAUCCUGGAUUGCAACUCUAUACAUGCUACAUAGAUCUUCUUAGUCGCUCGGGCUAUUUAUCAGAAGCUGAAGAACUCAUCACGAGGAUGCCAUAUGAGCCUGAUGAAGCUGUUUGGGGGUCCCUACUGAGCGCAUGCAAGAAACACAACAAUGCUGAAAUGUCUAUUAGGGUUGCUGAUAACCUAUUGGAGCUUAGACCAAAAUAUCCAUCAACAUAUGUCUUGUUAUCUAAUGUUUAUGCAGUGAAUGGCAAGUGGGGUUCUGUGGACACUGUAAGAAAGCUGAUGGCUAAUACAAAAAUACUGAAAGAGCCUGGGUAUAGCAGGAUUGAUGUUGGAAGAGAAUCCCGUCUGUUUCAUGCUGGGGAAGUGCCGCUUGAUGUGAGAGAAGCAAUUCUAGCUUUUCUUGAUGAAUUGGUCGUGAAAAUGCGCCAGAGGGGGUAUGUCCCUGAUACCAGUUCCGUGAUGCAUGAUUUGGAGGAGCAUGAAAAGGAGCAUCAUCUGUUCUUACACAGUGAGAGACUGGCUGUUGCCUUUGGGAUCCUCAAGUCUCCACCGGGAUCGGUAAUCCGGGUGGUGAAGAACCUCCAGGUCUGUGGGGACUGUCAUACAGUUAUGAAGUUGAUGAGUGAAAUUUUCCAGAGGAAGAUCAGUGUGAGAGAUGCUAGCCGCUUUCACCAUUUUGAAGAUGGGAAGUGCUCUUGUAGCGACUUCUGGUAGCUGAUCUGCUGACGUUCAGUUGUCCGCCUGGUCCUCUAGCUACGAAAGUGACCCAAAGUUGAAUUUCCAUAUAUCUUAAGUGUGACUCUCGGUGUGGUAUAGUAACUCUUUCUCUAUUUUUCUUUAUGAAUGAACUACAGCUCUUUGGUGAUUUUGAUUGUUAAAAGUUAGAACUAUAACAUGGGGGAACAGUUACGGAAGGAUGUUCGAAUGACUCAGUGAAACUUAUUGUGCCAAACUGGCAUGGCGCUUGUCGGCUUUAGUCCCAUUGAAUGCUUGGCCUGGGUUAUUUGGAACAUAUGGGUGGCAUGCAGACGCCGGGUGUAAUGCUUAAACCUUUUGAGUAAUAAAGCACCCUUUUUCGAUUUUCUUGGAACAUAUGCGUUUUCCUUGUUUACUACAGAAACUGAACUCGUUGCUAUGAAAUCCUUGCAAGAUUCCUGUAGAAACUUUUGCGUUCCAAUAAAGGCCAAUAUGCUAUGCAGGAUCAUUGCAAGUAUUUUACAGAAUCAGUUCCAUUCUUGCAAAAAAGUAGAAGAAACUUUUCCACAGUAUUUUGAAUUUACUGUCUGUCUGAUGGGCCUCCCAGCGAAUCCCGGCUGUCUGUUGGUUUCACUGUGUGAUAUAAAAGCUGCAUAGCACCCUCGCUGAAACCCUAGCGCGCCGCCUCCUGCACUCCCCAAUCCCUGCAUGACCGCUUCGCCUCCUCCCUCUUCUUCGCGCGCAACAGCUGGCGCAGCUCAGCCUCUGCCUCUAGCUCGUCUUCGUCCUGCCUAGUGGCUGGCCGAGCUUCGUCUCCUCAACCCACACAUUUUUUGCUGCGCACAGCGACACUGGAGAAGGAGGCAUCAGGGAGAUGGCCCAAGGGCACGGGAUCGACGCCGUCGUCCUGGGCUUGGUGGAGCGUGGCGCCAACGUCACCGUCCUUUCUUUGUCUGCAUCGCCGUCGCCGUCCCAAGAGAUGGCUCAAGGGUGUGGGAUCAGCUGUUGUCCUCAGCGCGGUGGAGUGUGGCGUUGCCGUCGUCCUCCUUUCUCUGUCUACAUCGCCGUCACUGUUGGCUACAUGAUCCCAAGUUUCUCCCAGGGUCCUCCCGUGGUCGCGCUCGUCCGUGGAGAUGCGGGUGAGGCAGUGCAGCACUGUGUGAGGCAGCUCUUGCAGCUGCAGGCAGAGACAAGGGAGAAGCAGCAGAUUAUGCUCCAUUCACGACUUGCAUCAGUCCAAUGACCUAGGGUGUUGGCAUGCGAGCUUAGGGUGACCAACAGGGAAGGCAACUCAGCCAGCAGUGGCCAUGGUGCAUCUCUCUUCUCAGUUUGCAGAGGCAUUCUAUUUUGUUCAGUUGCAUUUGAUUAGUUUUUCCCUCUUACUGGAUAUUUAAUUUUGUUAAAAGUAUGAACGAGAAUGGAUUUUGUACACACGCAUGGGUGUGAGUGUGUUCUGUACCGUCGAUUUAUUCCUUGAGAUUCCUCUUGCCGUGGUAGAUGCAAAAACAGCUCUCUCUCUCCUCCUUUUAUCCCAAUCUCAAAGCAAAACGGACGGUGACGGAAACACCCACACCCAUGUGUGUAAAUACAAAAGUAUUUCCUCAUAAUUUAAACUCAAUGUUGUGAAACUUUCACAAAUUCACUAAAGAGACAUGCGAGGACAACCAGCCAAGGAGAAACGGCACGACUCGCCAUGCGGAAGCGUCGCUCAGAUAACGAUGACAUCAGAAAGGGUGAUGCUGCCGCCAAUGCAUGUGGUCAGAGGAUCAGAACAAGGUGUACACAUGGCGGCACUGAAGCUCAUCGUUUCGAGAAGGAGAAUGGUUGUCUAAACAAUGGGUGUACUAAAAUGGAGUCUGUGGUUCAGCUAAACUUAUGCCUUUGCUGGAUGUGCAUUCAUUGAUGGAUCUUAGCUCAUGGCCUGGCUAGAUAGCUGAGAUUGGUUGUGCUUGAAGUGAAGGUAAAAAAAAACUAGAAAAACAAGUGAUUUUUCAAUUGGGAGGUUAUGGUUCAGGCAAACCAUUGUGUUCUUAAAGCUGCUAUUUAUACCAUGCCUUCUUUUGCUGUCCAAUCUUAGAGCUAUGUCAAAAACUAUAAAUGUCUGGAUUUCAGCUUAGUUUAUAUUGUGGUGUCAAAGCCCACAUGAGUUUAUUUUUAAAUUUCAUUAUUAUGCUAUUUACAUUGCAUGUCUAAAAAGAUUUUCGGCUAAUUUGUGCUUCGAAUGAAUAUAAGCAUAUACUGAUCUUGCUACAUUGAAAUGGUGAUUUAUAUAUUUAUUGUGUAAGAAUUCAUGUGCUUAUGUUUCAUACUUAUAUCCCUUCAAUGAACAUGCUGCCGCUGCACUGCACGAGCGUCCAGAGCCGCUACAAGUGGUGGCAAGGAGGAGCAUGCGCGGUGAAGCAGCACACCGACGGAAUCAUGUGAACAUCCGAUAUAUUUGCAUUUUCUUGAUGUCAGUUAUGGCUGCGGAAUCCCAAACUGACCAGGAACUGAUGAUAUAGAGGCUACAGUAUCAUUUUGACAUGGCAUAUUGCAUACUUACAUAUUUUCUAACGAGUAUAGUAUAGUCAAGUCCGAUCACUAGCAUUUUUUUCCUCGUAGAAGUGGAGAUGAGCACAAAGUUGUCACUGCUCAAACCAUGGGAAAGGAGCAAAGAGCAAGGCCAAAAAAAAAACAUGCAAGUUUGCGCACGGUGAACUGUACUUGCUUCAAGAGGAUUCUCUUCUCUUAUAUUUGCAUAUCCCUUACAGGGAUUGGAUGGCAUGCAUCCUCUCUUGGGAGAAGACCAAGAAAUACACUGCUAAGGGAAAGAAGAGGGAAGAGGGCCAUGGGGAUAAUCUGGCAUAUUGAAGUGGGGCACUGACAUUGUUCCCUACAGACCUUGUUCUUGCACUCCUGGUGAGUUUGCUUCUACCGGCUGCAUAUAUAGUCUGUACUGAUUCCUCGAGGUACGUUGUGCUGACCAGCCGAACUAGCUUCAUCCAUGUUGCUGCCUAGGCAACGGUAGUGUCUCGAUCCUGAUCCUCUGCCUUACCAUCCUCAUGAAGAUCUUGGUCUGUUGCGAGGAUUAUUGUCGAGACAAUGAAGAUAAUCAGAUAUUAAGGGCGCAAAUACUCUGGGAAUUUGUGACAACUAGAAUUUAGUAGAGAGUACGAUGAAUAUCCUGCAAAGUAUUCUACUGAGAAGGCUUUCUUCAAGCAGCCAAAUGUCUUCUUUUGCAAACAUGAAACCUGAGAAGGUGAAGAUGCUUGGGAAUGCAGUCUGGAAAAAUUAUAUUGCCAAUCUAGAUAUCACUAUGCAGUCCACGCACCAUUGCUGUUCUACUUUGAAUGGUUUAUGCAUAUAAAGUAACUGAAAAUACAAUACACGCUUUUGUUUAUUUGAUUCUGACAUCCUUAUUCACGUUUCCUUUAUACUCUCUGCAUUAUGAGCUGUAGUUACCACUUGUUAGUUCUGAAACUAGAUUUUUUUUUUUGGAAAUUCUCAGUUUACAGAUUAUUGUAGCUGGAACCAGAAAAUAUAAUGGUUUACAUGUCCUUUUACUUUUUUUUUUCCGGAA